GGAAAGGUGUAAUCGCUGUCUGUUGAAUAAAGGUCCAUCGUUACUUCCAUAUCGUGGACCACAUGGAUCAUUCGGGCCUGCACCACAGUGCAAGUGUGAUCAAAUGGUUGCUGUGAGAGAUCCCACCUAUAACAUGACUGUACCAAGAGAUGGGAAUUAUGACUCAUCAUUACACCAAUUUACAGGAUGGUUUUGAAAUGUUUCAGUAUAUAUUCAUGCAGAAUGGGCUAAAGAUUGACCAAGAAACU